rnacentral:tRNA from 1 species
GGCUGGGUAGCUCAGUUGGUUAGAGCACUGUCCCGAUAUGACAAGGUUAUGGGUUCUAUCCCCAGCCA